UUAAUUUCUUUCUUGACAAAGCCUGGCUUUGUCUCACUACAGAACCUUAAAAGCCUGCUUGGCUGGUAAAAGAACUUACCUUUGAGGAAGUGGACAGGGAAGCUGGGAGAUGGAAUGGGAGAGAGGCUCGCAUUUGGUUUCACUGUAUACCCUUUGGUAUCUCUUUAAAUUGGUACCAUGUGCAGUAUUGACAUCCAUCGUCUGUCCUGGCUGGCCAGUGCCAUUUGAUUUCAGCUGUUAAAUAUUUUCAGUAUUACUCCUGGCCAUGCACAUAAAUAACCUAUUCCCUGAAGGCAUGUAGUUUAAUUGUUUAAGCCUGUUUUGGAAAUGCUCUCAAAAAAAAAAAAAAGAAAAGCAACAUUCCUGUUGAAUUAAUACUGAUUUCUUCUUUUCCCCACCUCAACACAACACGUGCAUACACGCAGGCAGAUGGAUGCCUCAGACUGAGCAGGAAGGAGUCCAAGUGAACAAAAUGUGAAAGGAAAACCAUAAUAGACACCAUGUUCCUAUCAACAGGCAUUCACAAACCCCACUUCCAUCCGCCACUCUAACAAAUGAUUUUUGUUUAGGUGUCUCCUCUUUCUCUCUGAACCAUGUCUUUUGGGAGGCAACCCACAUUCUUGACUGAAGGGGAAAAACCAUGAUGGAAAUGAGCCAAUCUGAUUGGGCCAUUGCCUCUUGCCAGUGGCUUAGACCCGGGCUUGUGACUCAAUUAAGAUCAAAGAAAUGUGACAAGAAUUCUUCCGAGGAGCUUCACCAAGUGCUUUUCUUUGCUGAUCAAAAAAACCCAAAUAGGAAUAAAAAAACUCCGUGCUGCUGCAGGAUGUUCUCUGAUCUAUCUGGGCUGCCUGGAACUCUGCAACCAUCAUGGAAUCAUGAAAAGAAGGAGCGGGAGGAUAAGCCAAUGUGCUGAAGAGGUGAGAGCUGAAAAUGGAAGGAACUAGGUCCUUUAUAUAGCUGACUUCUGGCUAUAUUCAGCCAAUGGGAGGCACUGAUGAGACACUGGAAAGAGGAAGGAAGAAGCCAAGAUAUUUCUCCCUUUGUGAUUUAUCAUAAGAAAUAUAUAUUUGGUCUUUGACCCAGUUUGGGGCGCAGACCUCCUAAAAACCUUGGAAUUUCCUAAUUGAUAAGAGAGCAGUAAAGGUGUCUUUUGUUAUGUUAAUAAAGUGACUUUUGGAAAGCCCCAGAGGGUGGAGGCUGGUCCCCAGGCAAACCAACAGUGUGAUUAAAGGCUUGGAACUUUCA